rnacentral:rRNA from 1 species
AGAGUUUGAUCCUGGCUCAGAUUGAACGCUGGCGGCAGGCCUAACACAUGCAAGUCGAGCGGUAGAGAGGUGCUUGCACCUCUUGAGAGCGGCGGACGGGUGAGUAAUACCUAGGAAUCUGCCUGGUAGUGGGGGAUAACGUUCGGAAACGGACGCUAAUACCGCAUACGUCCUACGGGAGAAAGCAGGGGACCUUCGGGCCUUGCGCUAUCAGAUGAGCCUAGGUCGGAUUAGCUAGUUGGUGAGGUAAUGGCUCACCAAGGCUACGAUCCGUAACUGGUCUGAGAGGAUGAUCAGUCACACUGGAACUGAGACACGGUCCAGACUCCUACGGGAGGCAGCAGUGGGGAAUAUUGGACAAUGGGCGAAAGCCUGAUCCAGCCAUGCCGCGUGUGUGAAGAAGGUCUUCGGAUUGUAAAGCACUUUAAGUUGGGAGGAAGGGCAUUAACCUAAUACGUUAGUGUUUUGACGUUACCGACAGAAUAAGCACCGGCUAACUCUGUGCCAGCAGCCGCGGUAAUACAGAGGGUGCAAGCGUUAAUCGGAAUUACUGGGCGUAAAGCGCGCGUAGGUGGUUUGUUAAGUUGAAUGUGAAAUCCCCCGGGCUCAACCUGGGAACUGCAUCCAAAACUGGCAAGCUAGAGUAUGGUAGAGGGUAGUGGAAUUUCCUGUGUAGCGGUGAAAUGCGUAGAUAUAGGAAGGAACACCAGUGGCGAAGGCGACUACCUGGACUGAUACUGACACUGAGGUGCGAAAGCGUGGGGAGCAAACAGGAUUAGAUACCCUGGUAGUCCACGCCGUAAACGAUGUCCAACUAGCCCGUUGGGAGUCUGAAACUCUAGUGGCGCAGCUAACGCAUUA